rnacentral:rRNA from 1 species
GACGAACGCUGGCGGCGUGCUUAACACAUGCAAGUCGAACGGUAAGGCCCUUCGGGGUACACGAGUGGCGAACGGGUGAGUAACACGCGGGUGAUCUGCCCUGCACUUCGGGAUAAGCCUGGGAAACUGGGUCUAAUACCGGAUAGGACCACUGCCUGCAUGGGUGGUGGUGGCAAGCUUUUGCGGUGUGGGAUGGGCCCGCGGCCUAUCAGCUUGUUGGUGGGGUGAUGGCCUACCAAGGCGACGGCGGGUAGCCGGCCUGAGAGGGUGACCGGCCACACUGGGACUGAGAUACGGCCCAGACUCCUACGGGAGGCUGCAGUGGGGAAUAUUGCACAAUGGGCGCAAGCCUGAUGCAGCGACGCCGCGUGAGGGAUGACGGCCUUCGGGUUGUAAACCUCUUUCAGCACCGACGAAGCGCAAGUGACGGUAGGUGCAGAAGAAGGACCGGCCAACUACGUGCCAGCCGCCGCGGUAA